rnacentral:sRNA from 1 species
CUGGGCGGCGUUCUGGUUGCUAUGCCCUUUUGUGGCUGUUACAACCGGCCCCCACAACGCCCUUCUAUCACCUUCUUCACCGUGCUCUGAACUUUCUGGACAAAUGUAUGAAGUAUGAACCCAGACAAAGCCUCACUUCAAAGAGCCAAGUGGGUUGGGGCACCUGAGACCUAAUGAUGAUGAUGAUGGUGAUGACGAUGACAAUGAUGAUGACGAAGACGAUGAUGAUGAAGAGUUUCUGAUACUUGAGACUGAUGGAAGUUUUCACUUGAGUGUAUGAAGAGAUAAUCUUGGAGCCUGGGACACAAUCCAAGGAAGACAGGAGCUGAGCAUAACUGUCUCCUGAGAGGAUUCAUCCAGCAGCAGAUGGAAACAGAUGCAGACACCCGCAGCCAAACAAUGGAGGAGCUCGGGAGUUGUGUGGAAGAAUGGGAGGCCGAAAUGAGGAAGCCAGGAGACUCAAGGCCACCAGAAGAAGGCCUACAGAGUCAACAACCGCAUGCCCAUGGGGGCUCUUAAAGACUGAACCAUGUGGCAAGGCCCUCCCCUAAUGACUAAAGAUUUCAGGGGACCAAUCACUGGGCAAGGAGUCGGGAGACUUCCAGGUCAGAGGGGAUAGAGAAGAGGAGGAAGGAGAUUUGCAAUUUUUGGGGACUGGGGUAAAAGAUGUAAUGAACUAGAGGCCCCUGGUAAGAUGGCAGAUCCUGGUGGGUGUAAUUUAGUAUGGCUUACUGAUUAGAAUGUUAGUAGUUGAGCUGGUGAACGAAUACACGGAGAAACGGUCAGUGACUAAGGAACUGGAUUUCCCGGUAGGGAUUUCCGCAUCUCACCUGUAUAGUCCCACGCAUGUUCCCCACACAGUCCCUACUGUGUUUACCUGUUCUACUUGUCACCUCUCAAUAAAGCAUACCAAAUGUUGAUUUUUUAAAAAAAGAAUGUUAGUAGUUG